rnacentral:rRNA from 1 species
CCUACGGGAGGCAGCAGUGAGGAAUAUUGGUCAAUGGGCGGAAGCCUGAACCAGCCAAGCCGCGUGAGGGAAGAAGGUACAGCGUAUCGUAAACCUCUUUUGUCAGGGAACAAAGGCGGGGACUAGUCCCCGGAUGAGGGUACCUGAAGAAAAAGCAUCGCCUAACUCCGCGCCAGCAGACGCGGUAAUACGGAGUAUGCGAGCUUUCUCGGGAUCUAUUGGGUUUAAAGGGUGCGCAGGCGGCCUGUUAAGUCAGCGGUAAAAGCCCGGGGCUAAACCCGGGCGAGCCGUUGAAACUGGCUGGCUGGAGUUGGAGAGAGGUACGCGGAAUGCGUGGUGUAGCGGUGAAAUGCUUAGAGAUGGCGCAGAACCCCGAUUGCGAAGGCAGCGUACCGGCUCCACACUGACGCUGAGGCACGAAAGCGUGGGUAUCGAACAGGAUUAGAUACCCCUGUAGUC